GGCCCCAUGAUGUGAUGGUUAGCACUUUAGACUUUAAAUCCAGUGUUCUGAGUCCAAAUUUCUGUGGGACCU
rnacentral:tRNA from 1 species